GCACAAGCAGUGGAGUAUGUGGUUUAAUUCGAAGCAACGCGAAAAACCUUACCAGGUCUUGACAUCUAUCGCUAUCCCAAGAGAUUGGGAGUUCCCUUCGGGGACGGUAAGACAGGUGGUGCAUGGUUGUCGUCAGCUCGUGUCGUGAGAUGUUGGGUUAAGUCCCGCAACGAGCGCAACCCUUACUGUUAGUUGCUACGCAAGAGCACUCUAACGGGACUGCCGUUGACAAAA
rnacentral:rRNA from 1 species